rnacentral:rRNA from 1 species
AGAGUUUGAUCAUGGCUCAGGACGAACGCUGGCGGCGUGCCUAAUACAUGCAAGUCGAGCGAAUCAUUGGGAGCUUGCUCCCGAUGGUUAGCGGCGGACGGGUGAGUAACACGUGGGCAACCUGCCUGUAAGAUCGGGAUAACUUCGGGAAACCGGAGCUAAUACCGGAUAAUCCUUUUCCUCACAUGAGGGAAAGCUGA